ACUUCAAGAGCGCACGGUGGAUGCCUAGACACUAUAUAACGAUGAAGGACGUUGCAGGGUGCGAUAAGCCUCGGGUAGGUCCCAAGCUACCUUUGAUCCGAGGAUGUCCUAAUGGGGAAACCUGGCGCGAGUAAUGUCGCGUCAUCAUAUACUGAAUACAUAGGUAUAUGAGGAAGACCUGGCGAAGUGAAACAUCUCAGUAGCCAG
rnacentral:rRNA from 1 species